CCUACGGGGAGCAGCAGUAGGGAAUCUUCCACAAUGGGCGAAAGCCUGAUGGAGCAACGCCGCGUGGGUGAAGAAGGUCUUCGGAUCGUAAAACCCUGUUGUUAGAGAAGAAAGUGCGUGAGAGUAACUGUUCACGUUUCGACGGUAUAUAACCAGAAAGCCACGGCUAACUACGUGCCAGCAGCCGCGGUAAUACGUAGGUGGCAAGCGUUAUCCGGAUUGAUUGGGCGUAAAGGGAACGCAGGCGGUCUUGUAAGUCUGAUGUGAAAGCGUUCGGCUUAACCGGAGUAGUGCAUUGGAAACUGGGAGACUUGAGUGCAGAAGAGGCGAGUGGAACUCCAUGUGUAGCGGUGACAUGCGUAGAUAUAUGGAAGAACACCAGUGGCGAAAGCGGCUCUCUGGUCUGUAACUGACGCUGAGGUUCGAAAGCGUGGGUAGCAAACAGGAUUAGAUACCCUUGUAGUC
rnacentral:rRNA from 1 species